UUGAGAGUUUGAUCCUGGCUCAGAACGAACGCUGGCGGCACGCCUAACACAUGCAAGUCGAGCGCAAUCCUUCGGGAUCGAGCGGCGGACGGGUUAGUAACGCGUGGGAACAUACCCUUCUCUAAGGAAUAGCCUCGGGAAACUGAGAGUAAUACCUUAUACGCCCUUCGGGGGAAAGAUUUAUCGGAGAAGGAUUGGCCCGCGUAAGAUUAGAUAGUUGGUGGGGUAAUGGCCUACCAAGUCUACGAUCUUUAGCUGGUUUGAGAGGAUGAUCA
rnacentral:rRNA from 1 species